UACGUAGGGGGCAAGCGUUGUCCGGAAUCAUUGGGCGUAAAGCGCGUGUAGGCGGCCCGGUAAGUCCGCUGUGAAAGUCGGGGGCUCAACCCUCGAAUGCCGGUGGAUACUGUCGGGCUAGAGUGCGGGAGAGGCGAGUGGAAUUCCUGGUGUAGCGGUGAAAUGCGUAGAGAUCGGCAGGAACACCCAGGGGGAAACCAGCCGACUGGGCAUCUGCUGACGCUGAGGUGCGAGAGCGUGGGGAGCGAACCGG
rnacentral:rRNA from 1 species